rnacentral:rRNA from 1 species
AUUGAACGCUGGCGGCAGGCCUAACACAUGCAAGUCGAGCGGAGCGGAGGACGGGUGAGUAAUGCCUAGGAAUCUGCCUGGUAGUGGGGGCUAACGUCCGGAAAUGGGAGCUAAUACAGCAUACUAUCAGAUGAGUGUAGGUCGGAUUAGCUAGGUGGGGGGGUAAAGGCCUCCCAAGGCGACGAUCCGUAACUGGUCUGAUAGGAUGAUCAGUCACACUGGAACUGAGACACGGUCCAGACUCCUACGGGAGGCAGCAGUGGGGAAUAUUGGACAAUGGGCGAAAGCCUGAUCCAGCCAUGCCGCGUGUGUGAAGAAGGUCUUCGGAUUGUAAAGCACUUUAAGUUGGGAGGCGUUACCAACAGAAUAAGCACCGGCUAACUUCGUGCCAGCAGCCGCGGUAAUUC